CAGUAGCCACGGGAAUACGAAGGGGGCUAGCGUUGUUCGGAUUUAUUGGGCGUAAAGCGCGCGCAGGUGGUUUAAUAAGUCUGAUGUGAAAGCCCACGGCUCAACCGUGGAGGGUCAUUGGAAACUGUUAAACUUGAGUGCAGGAGAGAAAAGUGGAAUUCCUAGUGUAGCGGUGAAAUGCGUAGAGAUUAGGAGGAACACCAGUGGCGAAGGCGGCUUUUUGGCCUGUAACUGACACUGAGGCGCGAAAGCGUGGGGAGCAAACAGGAUUAGAUACCCCAGUAGUCCCUGUCUCUUAUAA
rnacentral:rRNA from 1 species